rnacentral:rRNA from 1 species
UUAUCCAGGCAAAUCCGGAUAAUCAAGGCUGAGGUGUGAUGACGAGGCACUACGGUGCUGAAGUAACAAAUGCCCUGCUUCCAGGAAAAGCCUCUAAGCAUCAGGUAACAUUAAAUCGUACCCCAAACCGACACAGGUGGUCAGGUAGAGAAUACCAAGGCGCUUGAGAGAACUCGGGUGAAGGAACUAGGCAAAAUGGUGCCGUAACUUCGGGAGAAGGCAC